UUUAAAAAUGCAGGUGGUAAGUGCAGCUGUAAACAUACUCUGCAAUCUCAUUUUCUGUCUGUAAUAAAAAGGACUAAAUUGUUGACUAAACUCGACCAGAAAUACAGGGUGGCAGUGCAAACCCUGAGAUGCCUAGGCGAAAACUCAAAGCCAUGUUUGUUCCUUAAAAUGGAGAGAGCCGCCAGCAUUUACCCAAGAUUUCUCUUAAGGAGGUUUCCUUUACGGAGAGUUUAGGUUAUGUAAGGUGCCCUGGCAUCACGGAGGGGCUACGUUAGCUGAAUGGAUAGCGACAGAGAGAGCAGAUGGAAGACGAGAAGGAGGGAUUAGAAAGACGGAGAGGGACGAGAAAGACCGAUGACAGAGAAGAAGCAGCUCUGCUCUAGCGGAGGUGAAGCCAGAGACCGCGCUCAGCGGGAUGGAUAGAGAUAAGAGAGCCUUCCCAUCAAACGGGAGAUCCUGUGUGGAGGACUGUGCCUCGCUGGACAGCCCAGAGAGCAGGAGCCAUGACGCCCGUCUCAUGGACACCGCGCAGGCCAUUGAUCAUGCGGCCAUGUCUGCAGCAUCCAAGGCUGCCUGCAGGGACGCCCUGGUGGCCACUGCCCCUUCCUCCACUAGCGCCUUGAACUCCUUUUUAUCGCGCUCCUGGAGGGAGUCCUCAGACUUGGGCAGGGAGCCCUACAGAUUGAAUUUGUACUGGCCCAGGAAAGCCUGAUGGUUUGCAACUCGUAACUGGAAGCUCGAAGACGAAUAAAUUUUCCUUCCAAAAGAG